CCUACGGGGGGCAGCAGUGGGGAAUCUUGCGCAAUGCGCGAAAGCGUGACGCAGCAACACCGCGUGAGGGAAGACGGCCUUAGGGUUGUAAACCUCUUUCAGAUGGGACGAAGGUUGUCCGGUGAAUAGCCGAGAUGAUUGACGGUACCGUCAGAAGAAGCUCCGGCUAACUACGUGCCAGCAGCCGCGGUAAUACGUAGGGAGCGAGCGUUGUCCGGAAUCAUUGGGCGUAAAGAGCAUGUAGGUGGAUCAAUAAGUCUGCUGUGAAAGUCGAA
rnacentral:rRNA from 1 species